UAGAGAUAAAUUAAAAUUUUGGACCCAUUGUGUACUUGUAACAUUGAUCAUGUUUACUAUAUUCUCAUUUUUCGCUGAGCAGCUAAUUGCACUCAAGCGGAAGAUUUUUCCCAGAAGGAGGAUCCAUAAGGAAGUUGGUACUGAACGGAUUGGGGUAUAGGAAAUUAAAAGAGCUUACCUCCACGUUUACGAGAUGACUACCGUAUCUUUCUGACGUGAUGCCUCAGGAUCCAAGGCCUAAAGAAAUAAAGAGAAACAUCCCAUAAAGAUGGCAAGAGAUGCAACACCCAGACCAGCUGAGCUGUUUAAUAGAUAUAUCAAAAAAUAACAGGUGUGUUGGGCAGUCCUCAACUGGAUUUCUACUUUGGAAGCAUUAGCUCAUGGACAUGUUAUCCUUUUUAUAAAAAGGGUUCCUGAAAGAGAUACAGCUGCCUUUAUUGCAGUGGACGUUGCCAAGUAAAUUUAAUAUCCAGAUCCUAGGCCGACGUGGGAAGUUACCGAAGAAGCCUCAGAUUUUGCAUUCCAAAACAUUCUGCUGUGAUCUUGCUGGGAUGCUUUUUUCAUUUUCUGUUUUUAAAUAGGUAACAACUAAGUUAACUCUUUAGCUAUGUUUUUAUCCAACCUGUGAUACUGAAACUUAUUGAUGAAUGUACAUAAACACAGCCUCAUAUUGGCAGGAUCAAAAAAUUCUGGAUUUGAAGAAUGUUAGUGGGAUUUGGCUACAGAAGAUCUCAGCAACUGACAUCUGAAAUAUUUUGGAUUGGGUUUACUGGACUCCUUAAGAAUACAGGGAUUAUGUUUGGAAGCCUAAGCACAAAGGGCUAGUGGGAAGUAGCAACAGCUACUGGCCAAUAUAUUAUACUCAUGUUUUGGAAAUGUAAAAUACAAACAAAAGUGCCUCAUUGUAGAAAUUAGCAAUCACUGUUAUGUUGAUGGUUCCUUUAAUAUGAUAGCAUGUGGCAUCAAGUUCCACAUAAUGAGAGAUUCUUUUUAAGUCUGAGCAGGCUCUAACACUGUGUCAUAUUUUGUUAUGACAUUAUUAAGACUAUGGAAAACUUGGGGAGGAAAGGCAAUCUUUUCAAGUUGAUGUUAUGGUUUUGACAUGUACUUUAAAUCACAGUCACAGCAGUAUUCUUUCAAAAAUCCCAAGAAUCAUUUUGUAAUAGUUGUAAACUGGAAUCUGGAAUGUACAUAAUGGUUUUGUGCUGUCACUGUGUGGUUAAAAAGACUCACUGAAAAAAGUCA